AAUGCUCCUCCCGCGCAGCUCUUAUCCCCGUAGACUGCGGCCGAGACGGGGAGGGGGAAGCCUCGCCUGGGGGGCGGCAGUGGCCUGGGCGGCUCUCCGGCUGCUGUUGUAUGGCUGCACGUUGGCGCUACCGGACGGGAUGCUGUAUCCCCGAGAGAGCCCGUCGUGGCAGCGCAAGCAGCUGGACGGCCUCUGAAGCUUCCGCGCCGACUUCUCCGACAACCGACGCCGGGGCUUCGAGGAGCAGAGGUACCGGCGACCGCUGUCGGAGGCGCGGACUCGGGGCAGGGCCAGGAGUCGCCCGGAAGCCCGGCGGUGGGAAUGGGUCAGGCCCCACCGUGGACAUGCCGGUUCCCUCCAGCUUCAACGACAUCGGCCAGGGCUGGCGGCUGCGGCAUUUUGUCAGCUGGUUGUGGUAUGAACGGGAGGUGACCCUGCUGGAGCGAUGGAUCCAGGACCUGUGCACAAGAGUGGUGCUGAGGAUUGGCAGUGCCCACUUCUAUGCCAUCGUGGUAUCCCAAGGGUUACUUUGUCCAGAACACAGACUUUGACUUCUUCAGCUACGCAGGACUGCUGUGGUCUCUGCUUCUAUACACGACACCCCCCACCUACAUCGAUGACGUCACCGUCACCACCGGCGUGAAGCGAGACAGUGGUGAGGGCUUCUGGACUGGAUGGAGGACCUGAAGACGUGAGGUGGAGGCACAGGUAGAAGAGAAGAUUCUCACCAUCGCUGAUUCACACAAAAGCAUUUCUCCAAGUGGUUGCAGAUGACAUGAUUUCCCAAAGUGUUAGAGCUGAAGUGUGUUUCCUUGUGUAUAUAUACUGUGGUUCCUUUAUCCCUUCAUCUGUGGAUAGACAGGUGCAACCGUGUGGUUCCCCACGAUAUGAUUUCAUUGUGGUUUUCUGUCUGAAGAGUAUCCCAGUAUGUACCUGUGGAGCAGCUUCUUUAUCCCUUCAUCUGUGGAUAAGCAGUGCAGGCCAAGGCCCCCUGCCCAUGGAGGUGUGCUGCAGACAGCAGCAGCAGCAGCAGCAGCAGCAGCAGCAGCAGCAGAGGCCUGGCUUCCUGAGGAAUUGCUGGCCGGUUUGAGGAAGGAAGGAAGUCCCACCUACCAUGAUCACCCUCCAGCCUGGAGGAAGCUCCAUGCCAGCAGCAUGGACCAGCAUGGGAGCCAGAGCCCUGCUAAUGCUGCAGCUCAUCACCCCUGCUCAGCAGCCCAGCAGCCCAGCAGCCAUUGCCACAUCCCAUUUCCAGGGCCUCCUGCCCCCAUGCCCCCACGUGCCCAUGGACCGACACACCACUCUUCCUGUUGGCCCAAGGACCUGCUGAAGCUCACACCCGUGGACCACCCAGACUGCCUGCCGCUACAGGAUGCCCUCCGCAUCUCCCAGGACUUCUUUCCGGCAUCAGUGUGGACAUUGACCCCACUGGACUGCAGUCACAGUGGACUCCCAAGGGGCAGGAUCCACCUCUGAUGUUCAGUGAAGACUACCAGAAAAGUCUGCUAGAGCAGUACCAUCUGGGUCUGGAUCAAAAACUCAGAAAAUACGUGGUUGGAGAGCUCAUCUGGAAUUUUGCCGAUUUCAUGACUAACCAGUGUCAGCCCAAGACUACCCCGUCGGUCAUUCUGUUCCUGCCGUCCUGUGAGGAGCCCCAAGCCAACAAGGCCACACUGGUGUGUCUCAUGAAUAACUUUAUCCGGGAAUCUUGAUGGUGACCUGGAAGGCAGAUGGUACCCUCAUCACCCAGAGCGUGGAGAAGACCACGCCCUCCAAACAGAGCAACAACAAGUACGUGGCCAGCAGCUACCUGAGCCUGACGCCCGAGCAGUGGAGGUCCCGCAGAAGCUACAGCUGCCAGGUUAUGCAAGAAGGGAGCACCGUGGAGAAGUCAGUGGCCCCUGCAGAAUGUUCAUAGGUUCCAGCCCCCACCCCACCCACAGGGGCCUGGAGCUGCAGGAUCCCAGGGGAGGGGUCUCUCUCUGCAUCCCAAGCCAUUCAGCCCUUCUCGCUGUACCCAGUAAACCCUCAAUAAAUAUCUUUGUCAGCCAGAAA
ensembl:lncRNA GUSBP11 GUSB pseudogene 11